rnacentral:rRNA from 1 species
GAUGAACGCUGGCGGCGUGCCUAAUACAUGCAAGUCGAGCGAACAGACGAGGAGCUUGCUCCUCUGACGUUAGCGGCGGACGGGUGAGUAACACGUGGAUAACCUACCUAUAAGACUGGGAUAACUUCGGGAAACCGGAGCUAAUACCGGAUAAUAUAUUGAACCGCAUGGUUCAAUAGUGAAAGACGGUUUUGCUGUCACUUAUAGAUGGAUCCGCGCCGCAUUAGCUAGUUGGUAAGGUAACGGCUUACCAAGGCAACGAUGCGUAGCCGACCUGAGAGGGUGAUCGGCCACACUGGAACUGAGACACGGUCCAGACUCCUACGGGAGGCAGCAGUAGGGAAUCUUCCGCAAUGGGCGAAAGCCUGACGGAGCAACGCCGCGUGAGUGAUGAAGGUCUUCGGAUCGUAAAACGCUGUUAUUAGGAAAGAACAAAUGUGUAAGUAACUAUGCACGUCUUGACGGUACCUAAUCAGAAAGCCACGGCUAACUACGU